rnacentral:rRNA from 1 species
GAUGAACGCUGGCGGCAGGCUUAACACAUGCAAGUCGAACGGUCUCUUCGGAGGCAGUGGCAGACGGGUGAGUAACGCGUGGGAACAUACCUUUCGGUACGGAACAACAGUUGGAAACGACUGCUAAUACCGUAUACGCCCUGAGGGGAAAGAUUUAUCGCCGAGAGAUUGGCCCGCGUUGGAUUAGCUAGUUGGUGGGGUAAUGGCCUACCAAGGCGACGAUCCAUAGCUGGUCUGAGAGGAUGAUCAGCCACACUGGGACUGAGACACGGCCCAGACUCCUACGGGAGGCAGCAGUGGGGAAUAUUGGACAAUGGGCGCAAGCCUGAUCCAGCCAUGCCGCGUGAGUGAUGAAGGCCUUAGGGUUGUAAAGCUCUUUCGCCGGUGAAGAUAAUGACGGUAACCGGUAAAGAAGCCCCGGCUAACUUCGUG